rnacentral:rRNA from 1 species
GGGUUGUGAGGUUAAGCGACUAAGCGUACACGGUGGAUGCCCUGGCAGUCAGAGGCGAUGAAGGACGUGCUAAUCUGCGAUAAGCGUCGGUAAGGUGAUAUGAACCGUUAUAACCGGCGAUUUCCGAAUGGGGAAACCCAGUGUGUUUCGACACACUAUCAUUAACUGAAUCCAUAGGUUAAUGAGGCGAACCGGGGGAACUGAAACAUCUAAGUACCCCGAGGAAAAGAAAUCAACCGAGAUUCCCCCAGUAGCGGCGAGCGAACGGGGAGCAGCCCAGAGCCUGAAUCAGUGUGUGUGUUAGUGGAAGCGUCUGGAAAGGCGCGCGAUACAGGGUGACAGCCCCGUACACAAAAAUGCACAUGCUGUGAGCUCGAUGAGUAGGGCGGGACACGUGGUAUCCUGUCUGAAUAUGGGGGGACCAUCCUCCAAGGCUAAAUACUCCUGACUGACCGAUAGUGAACCAGUACCGUGAGGGAAAGGCGAAAAGAACCCCGGCGAGGGGAGUGAAAAAGAACCUGAAACCGUGUACGUACAAGCAGUGGGAGCACGCUUAGGCGUGUGACUGCGUACCUUUUGUAUAAUGGGUCAGCGACUUAUAUUCUGUAGCAAGGUUAACCGAAUAGGGGAGCCGAAGGGAAACCGAGUCUUAACUGGGCGUUAAGUUGCAGGGUAUAGACCCGAAACCCGGUGAUCUAGCCAUGGGCAGGUUGAAGGUUGGGUAACACUAACUGGAGGACCGAACCGACUAAUGUUGAAAAAUUAGCGGAUGACUUGUGGCUGGGGGUGAAAGGCCAAUCAAACCGGGAGAUAGCUGGUUCUCCCCGAAAGCUAUUUAGGUAGCGCCUCGUGAAUUCAUCUCCGGGGGUAGAGCACUGUUUCGGCAAGGGGGUCAUCCCGACUUACCAACCCGAUGCAAACUGCGAAUACCGGAGAAUGUUAUCACGGGAGACACACGGCGGGUGCUAACGUCCGUCGUGAAGAGGGAAACAACCCAGACCGCCAGCUAAGGUCCCAAAGUCAUGGUUAAGUGGGAAACGAUGUGGGAAGGCCCAGACAGCCAGGAUGUUGGCUUAGAAGCAGCCAUCAUUUAAAGAAAGCGUAAUAGCUCACUGGUCGAGUCGGCCUGCGCGGAAGAUGUAACGGGGCUAAACCAUGCACCGAAGCUGCGGCAGCGACGCUUAUGCGUUGUUGGGUAGGGGAGCGUUCUGUAAGCCUGCGAAGGUGUGCUGUGAGGCAUGCUGGAGGUAUCAGAAGUGCGAAUGCUGACAUAAGUAACGAUAAAGCGGGUGAAAAGCCCGCUCGCCGGAAGACCAAGGGUUCCUGUCCAACGUUAAUCGGGGCAGGGUGAGUCGACCCCUAAGGCGAGGCCGAAAGGCGUAGUCGAUGGGAAACAGGUUAAUAUUCCUGUACUUGGUGUUACUGCGAAGGGGGGACGGAGAAGGCUAUGUUGGCCGGGCGACGGUUGUCCCGGUUUAAGCGUGUAGGCUGGUUUUCCAGGCAAAUCCGGAAAAUCAAGGCUGAGGCGUGAUGACGAGGCACUACGGUGCUGAAGCAACAAAUGCCCUGCUUCCAGGAAAAGCCUCUAAGCAUCAGGUAACAUCAAAUCGUACCCCAAACCGACACAGGUGGUCAGGUAGAGAAUACCAAGGCGCUUGAGAGAACUCGGGUGAAGGAACUAGGCAAAAUGGUGCCGUAACUUCGGGAGAAGGCACGCUGAUAUGUAGGUGAAGCGACUUGCUCGUGGAGCUGAAAUCAGUCGAAGAUACCAGCUGGCUGCAACUGUUUAUUAAAAACACAGCACUGUGCAAACACGAAAGUGGACGUAUACGGUGUGACGCCUGCCCGGUGCCGGAAGGUUAAUUGAUGGGGUUAGCGCAAGCGAAGCUCUUGAUCGAAGCCCCGGUAAACGGCGGCCGUAACUAUAACGGUCCUAAGGUAGCGAAAUUCCUUGUCGGGUAAGUUCCGACCUGCACGAAUGGCGUAAUGAUGGCCAGGCUGUCUCCACCCGAGACUCAGUGAAAUUGAACUCGCUGUGAAGAUGCAGUGUACCCGCGGCAAGACGGAAAGACCCCGUGAACCUUUACUAUAGCUUGACACUGAACAUUGAGCCUUGAUGUGUAGGAUAGGUGGGAGGCUUUGAAGUGUGGACGCCAGUCUGCAUGGAGCCGACCUUGAAAUACCACCCUUUAAUGUUUGAUGUUCUAACGUGGACCCGUAAUCCGGGUUGCGGACAGUGUCUGGUGGGUAGUUUGACUGGGGCGGUCUCCUCCUAAAGAGUAACGGAGGAGCACGAAGGUUGGCUAAUCCUGGUCGGACAUCAGGAGGUUAGUGCAAUGGCAUAAGCCAGCUUGACUGCGAGCGUGACGGCGCGAGCAGGUGCGAAAGCAGGUCAUAGUGAUCCGGUGGUUCUGAAUGGAAGGGCCAUCGCUCAACGGAUAAAAGGUACUCCGGGGAUAACAGGCUGAUACCGCCCAAGAGUUCAUAUCGACGGCGGUGUUUGGCACCUCGAUGUCGGCUCAUCACAUCCUGGGGCUGAAGUAGGUCCCAAGGGUAUGGCUGUUCGCCAUUUAAAGUGGUACGCGAGCUGGGUUUAGAACGUCGUGAGACAGUUCGGUCCCUAUCUGCCGUGGGCGCUGGAGAACUGAGGGGGGCUGCUCCUAGUACGAGAGGACCGGAGUGGACGCAUCACUGGUGUUCGGGUUGUCAUGCCAAUGGCACUGCCCGGUAGCUAAAUGCGGAAGAGAUAAGUGCUGAAAGCAUCUAAGCACGAAACUUGCCCCGAGAUGAGUUCUCCCUGACUCCUUGAGAGUCCUGAAGGAACGUUGAAGACGACGACGUUGAUAGGCCGGGUGUGUAAGCGCAGCGAUGCGUUGAGCUAACCGGUACUAAUGAACCGUGAGGCUUAACCUUACAACGCCGAAG